GACGAACGCUGGCGGCGUGCUUAACACAUGCAAGUCGAACGGAAAGGCCCCUUUGGGGGUACUCGAGUGGCGAACGGGUGAGUAACACGUGAGUAACCUGCCCUUGACUUCGGGAUAACUUCAGGAAACUGGGGCUAAUACCGGAUAGGAAUCCUUGCUGCAUGGUGGGGGUUGGAAAGCUUCGGCGGUUUUGGAUGGACUCGCGGCUUAUCAGCUUGUUGGUGGGGUAGUGGCUUACCAAGGCUUUGACGGGUAGCCGGCCUGAGAGGGCGACCGGCCACAUUGGGACUGAGAUACGGCCCAGACUCCUACGGGAGGCAGCAGUGGGGAAUAUUGCACAAUGGGCGGAAGCCUGAUGCAGCAACGCCGCGGGCGGGAUGACGGCCUUCGGGAUGUAAACCGCUUUCAGCAGGGGCGAAGCUUGUGGUGACGGUACCUGCAGAAGAAGCACCGGCUAACUACGUG
rnacentral:rRNA from 1 species